GGGUCACGUGGCUCCAGCCACACCCACCUCCCUGCUGUUCCUCACCCAGGAUCACCAAGGUCUCUCCUACCCCGGGGCCUGUGCACCUGCUGUGCCUCUGCUUGGGGUGCUCUUCCCAGGGCUUGCCCACCUCCUCAGAGAGGCCUCCUGACCCCUGACACGGCCUUGCCCUUCACCUCUAUCGUCCUUUAGAACAGCCCCCACCUCCCGCACAUCAUGCAGUUGCAGGUUCAAUGGCUACUGCUUGUCCUCCAGACUCGAUAGGCCUCAUCACUCCUCAGAUGAUUCUCGAAGGAUAACACACAGGCCAGUGGGCAGCCCUAGGCCAGGGGGAUUACCAAGACAUGAAGACUUUCUUUCUGUCUCAGCAACCUUCAUGCUUGGUCAAGCAAAGGUGUUGCUUAAGUCAAACCCAGGGCAGGGGAGAGCAGUUGAAGCAAAGUGAGUCUUUGGAGGCCCUGUGGUUGUGGGGUCUGGUGUGGAGACAGUGAGAACGGAAAAGGUGGGAGAGGAGCAGUCAACCCGUGAAUGGCCCCAUUCAGACGCCUUUACCUGGAAGACGUGGCAGGUGAGCAGCAAGUGAGCGGGAGAGUGGGAGAGAGAAUGAGGAAGUGAGGGAGAGAAUGGAUGAGUGAGCACCUGCUUGGAUGAGCCGACACCCACCAGGGAUCAUGAGAACACCGAACAGCUGAGGCACGGUGGCGUCUCUCAGCAGCCUCCCCAGGCCUGUGCCCCUGGGUCCUGACAUGAGAGCUGAUGACCAUUUAUUAUCACUGGUGAUGUCAAGAGGUGGCUUGGAAUGGUUGUAACCGUCUGUUCAUUUUCAUCUCACCUCCACAUCCACCACAAAUACACAGUGACGUUGCUCUGCAAAAGCAGCAGCACACAGCCCCCCAGAAGCCCCUUCCAGGUAAUUGCCAAAAGUUUCUUCCAUAUGGAAAUUCUGUAGUUGUGUGACCUCAGGCUAGUUACACAACCUCUCUGAGCUUUGCCAUCGUCUUCUGUCCUAUGGUAAGAAUGAUACUGAGGUACUAGGGAGCUGUGAAGCAUAUGCUGUGAGACAACACAGCUGAGCAGCCCAGCCAGAGCCCCCUGGGGAAGCCGUCAGAGGUCAGCAGCUCCCGUCUCCUUCCCUCUUGACUCCUAAUAGUCUAGGACAGAACUUUGCCCUCCCUUCUUCCUGUCCCAAAGAUGCACAAUGAUAAUGAUGCUGAUGGUUAUUUAGUAAGAAACUUCCCAACAGGAACAGUCAUCAGGAGGGGGCACAGUUGGAUUCUCUCCAGUGAAGAUGUCAGGAUGGACAGAAAUGUCAGCGUAAUCCAAAGAGGACACAAACACCCCUGCUAUUUUCUUGUCACCAGGAAAAGGCCAGCUCUAGGUUUGAUGAAUGUUUAGUGAAAGAAAGUUUGCAAAAGUAGAAAAGAAA
ensembl:lncRNA LINC00494 long intergenic non-protein coding RNA 494